UACGGGGGGGGGCAAGCGUUGUUCGGAAUUACUGGGCGUAAAGGGCUCGUAGGCGGCCAACUAAGUCGGACGUGAAAUCCCCCAGGCUCAACCUGGGAACUGCGUCCGAUACUGGAUGGCUUGAAUUCGGGAGAGGGAUGCGGAAUUCCAGGUGUAGCGGUGAAAUGCGUAGAUAUCUGGAGGAACACCGGUGGCGAAGGCGGCAUCCUGGACCGGCAUUGACGCUGAGGAGCGAAAGCCAGGGGAGCAAACGGG
rnacentral:rRNA from 1 species